GAUCCUGGCUCAGGACGAACGCUGGCGGCGUGCUUAACGCAUGCAAGUCGAACGAGAAUCUGUGGAUCGAGGAUUCGUCCAAGUGAAGCAGAGGACAGUGGCGGACGGGUGAGUAACGCGUGAGGAACCUGCCUUUCAGAGGGGGACAACAGUUGGAAACGACUGCUAAUACCGCAUGAUACGUUUUAGGGGCAUCCCUGAGACGUCAAAGAUUUAUCGCUGAAAGAUGGCCUCGCG
rnacentral:rRNA from 1 species